AAAUUGAAGAGUUUGAUCAUGGCUCAGAUUGAACGCUGGCGGCAGGCCUAACACAUGCAAGUCGAACGGUAACAGGAAGCAGCUUGCUGCUUUGCUGACGAGUGGCGGACGGGUGAGUAAUGUCUGGGAAACUGCCUGAUGGAGGGGGAUAACUACUGGAAACGGUGGCUAAUACCGCAUAACGUCGCAAGACCAAAGAGGGGGACCUUCGGGCCUCUUGCCAUCAGAUGUGCCCAGAUGGGAUUAGCUUGUUGGUGAGGUAACGGCUCACCAAGGCGACGAUCCCUAGCUGGUCUGAGAGGAUGACCAGCCACACUGGAACUGAGACACGGUCCAGACUCCUACGGGAGGCAGCAGUGGGGAAUAUUGCACAAUGGGCGCAAGCCUGAUGCAGCCAUGCCGCGUGUAUGAAGAAGGCCUUCGGGUUGUAAAGUACUUUCAGCGGGGAGGAAGGUGUUGUGGUUAAUAACCGCAGCAAUUGACGUUACCCGCAGAAGAAGCACCGGCUAACUCCGUGCCAGCAGCCGCGGUAAUACGGAGGGUGCAAGCGUUAAUCGGAAUUACUGGGCGUAAAGCGCACGCAGGCGGUCUGUCAAGUCGGAUGUGAAAUCCCCGGGCUCAACCUGGGAACUGCAUUCGAAACUGGCAGGCUUGAGUCUUGUAGAGGGGGGUAGAAUUCCAGGUGUAGCGGUGAAAUGCGUAGAGAUCUGGAGGAAUACCGGUGGCGAAGGCGGCCCCCUGGACAAAGACUGACGCUCAGGUGCGAAAGCGUGGGGAGCAAACAGGAUUAGAUACCCUGGUAGUCCACGCCGUAAACGAUGUCUACUUGGAGGUUGUGCCCUUGAGGCGUGGCUUCCGGAGCUAACGCGUUAAGUAGACCGCCUGGGGAGUACGGCCGCAAGGUUAAAACUCAAAUGAAUUGACGGGGGCCCGCACAAGCGGUGGAGCAUGUGGUUUAAUUCGAUGCAACGCGAAGAACCUUACCUGGUCUUGACAUCCACGGAAGUUCAGAGAUGGAUUUGUGCCUUCGGGAACCGUGAGACAGGUGCUGCAUGGCUGUCGUCAGCUCGUGUUGUGAAAUGUUGGGUUAAGUCCCGCAACGAGCGCAACCCUUAUCCUUUGUUGCCAGCGGUCCGGCCGGGAACUCAAAGGAGACUGCCAGUGAUAAACUGGAGGAAGGUGGGGAUGACGUCAAGUCAUCAUGGCCCUUACGACCAGGGCUACACACGUGCUACAAUGGCGCAUACAAAGAGAAGCGACCUCGCGAGAGCAAGCGGACCUCAUAAAGUGCGUCGUAGUCCGGAUUGGAGUCUGCAACUCGACUCCAUGAAGUCGGAAUCGCUAGUAAUCGUGGAUCAGAAUGCCACGGUGAAUACGUUCCCGGGCCUUGUACACACCGCCCGUCACACCAUGGGAGUGGGUUGCAAAAGAAGUAGGUAGCUUAACCUUCGGGAGGGCGCUUACCACUUUGUGAUUCAUGACUGGGGUGAAGUCGUAACAAGGUAACCGUAGGGGAACCUGCGGUUGGAUCACCUCCUUACCUUAAAGAA
rnacentral:rRNA from 1 species